UACGUAGGUGGCAAGCGUUGUCCGGAUUUACUGGGCGUAAAGAGCGCGCAGGCGGUUGUUUAAGUCGAAUGUGAAAGCCCCCGGCUCAACUGGGGAGGGUCAUUCGAUACUGAUCGACUUGAAGGCAGGAGAGGGAAGUGGAAUUCCGGGUGUAGUGGUGAAAUGCGUAGAUAUCCGGAGGAACACCGGUGGUGAAGACGGUCUCCUGGGCCGAGGGCCGACGCUGAGGCGCGAGAGCGUGGGGAGCGAACCGG
rnacentral:rRNA from 1 species